UCUCCGUUGGUGAACCAGCGGAGGGAUCAUUACAGAGUUAUCUAACUCCCAAACCCAUGUGAACUUACCAUUUGUUGCCUCGGCAGAGCCUACCCGGUAACUGUUCGGAGAAGCUACCCUGUAGCUACCCUGUAGCCGCCGGCGGACCAAUAAACUCUUGUUAUUCUAUGGAUAUCUGAGCGUCUUAUUUAAUAAGUUAAAACUUUCAACAACGGAUCUCUUGGCUCUCGCAUCGAUGAAGAACGCAGC
rnacentral:misc_RNA from 1 species